ACGGAAGGCAGCAGUGGGGAAUAUUGCACAAUGGGGGAAACCCUGAUGCAGCGACGCCGCGUGAGUGAAGAAGUUAUUCGUAAUGUAAAGCUCUAUCAGCAGGGAAGAAAAUGACGGUACCUGACUAAGAAGCCCCGGCUAACUACGUGCCAGCAGCCGCGGUAAUACGGAGGAUCCGAGCGUUAUCCGGAUUUAUUGGGUUUAAAGGGUGCGCAGGCGGGCUAGUAAGUCUCUGGUGAAAUGUCAGGGCUCAACCUUGGCACUGCCGGAGAUACUGUUGGCCUUGAGAGUGGCGGAGGUAUCCGGAAUGUGUGGUGUAGCGGUGAAAUGCAUAGAUAUCACACAGAACACCGAUUGCGAAGGCAGGAUACCAUACCAUAUCUGACGCUCAGGCACGAAAGCGUGGGGAUCGAACAGGAUUAGAUACCCUGGUA
rnacentral:rRNA from 1 species